CAAACUGAUAAUUGGCCGGGAGAAAAAAAAAUGCGUCAAGCUUGGAAGAAAGAAGAGACAGGAAACAAAAAGAGAAAAGGACAUGAAUCAUGAAGCAUAAAUUAUCAGCAUUUGGGCAAGUCCACAGGAGGAGGAAGAAGUUUCUGAUCAGGCUUAUCUCCAUCAAGAACAAGCCAAGCCAUCCUCAAACCCCAACUGGGUCCCAUAAAUCACAGGACCGGCUCUGUCUACAACUACAACUAAAAUGAAAGGGAGAGAGUAAUAGUUUCUGUUACCUGGGUUAUCUGCUAGGAAUCGAAUAGCAACCCAUCCACCAGAUGGCACACCGACUGUGUUCCUCUCAAUCGGGUCAACAAGGUUGAAGUUCUUAGGAUCUUUCUUCGGAUCAAAGUUCCCAAACCCUUGGCCAACAACAAAGAAGUUGAAGCCGUGAAGGUGAAGCGGAUGGCUCUCCGCACCAAGGAUGCUAGUGUCCUGCAUCACCAGCUCCACGCUGGUGUUAUAACGCAGAACCAUCACGUUCGUCCCCGUUCUAACCAUGGUGUUGUUAGGCGGAGUGCCUGUGUAGUUAAACGGGACUACGGGAUUCCACGGGAAGUUUGGAGAAUACACUCCAUUCGAUUGCCCAGAGUAGUGAGAUUGAAGGAGAGCUUUCGUCGGCAUCGUGAAGGAGAUGUUGCUGAUCGAUGCAGCGAACAUCGUGGUGUUAGUUGGACCCUGGCACGUCUGGUUGUUCUUAUGGUUACACGGAGUCGUUCCCAAUCCUACCGUGAAGAAGAACUUCCUAUCAACCUUCAGAGGCACGUUAGCUGGGAAUCUCUUGCUGUUCAGACUACGCAGCUUGUUGCUGAACUUGGAAGCGAAGUUUGUAUCGUUCAGAGCGGGAAGCACCGGUGCGAAGAGCGGAAGGUUCUUGAUAGAGGUCUUGGCAUGUUUAGGUUGUUCGUAUUCUAAUACGCCUGCGACUGUAGAGUUAUCGAAAGUUCCUUGACCUGUGACGUACGGUCUAGCGGUCAUCAAGAAAGAGGCAUUAGGGUAACUCGGUUUGGUCUUCAGAAGCAGGUUUGUGGUCUGUCCAGGAGCGAUUAAGAUGGUGUCCGUCUCGAAUGGCUUGACGUAGAUCGCGUCGGCUUCGACGACUGUAACCGUGUGGUUUGCGAUGCUGAAAAAGAGCUCGUCGUUAAGCGCAGCGUUGAUUAGCCUUAGAAGGAAGCAACGAUUACCUUUAGCUGAGCAGUUGUAUAACGGGCCGGGAAGCCCGUUGAUGGUGUAAGCAUCAGAGACAUUAGGCCCACCUCCGGUCUGGGUUGCUUGGCGAAUGAUUGCCUCAGGGUCUGCGUUGAACCACUCACCAAAGAUCAUGGGAACUUCUUUGUGAGGUUUGGGGAAGGGGUAAGGAACACCGCGUUUGGGAAGGAUGAUAAUAGGACCAUAGACUGUUGCUCUUAGCCAUGAGAUGUGAGCAUGGUAAAACAGAGUGCCUCUUUGGCCAGCAAUGGUGUAGUUGUAGACAUAACUUUGCCCUGUCUGAAUAGGACAUUGGGUUAUGUAAGCUGGUCCAUCAGCCCAACCUGACCGUAAUUGCCUGAUCCCAUGCCUGAGAUUAAAGCCAAGUGUUAGUAAUCAAACAUUGCUCUUAAUAGUGCUGAAAAUGUGUGUUAAAUGAUAAUUAUUAUUACCAGUGGAUAGAGAUGUUGUUUGGCACAUGGUUAACAACUUUGAUCAGAAGCUGGUCACCUUCUCUAGCAAUAAGCUUAGGCCCUGGAAACUGUCCGUUAACAGAAACAAGACUCUUCGUGUGGCAAAGACGUGUUACGUUGUGCAUUUUGAUCUGUCAAAAAAAAACAUUCAUAAUAAUCAUGAUCAGGAAGAAGAAAAAGACAAGAGAGAACAACAGCAAAGAAAAGCCAAACCGCCAUUUCUUUUUUUUUAAGGGAGCUUGGAGACUUGGACCUUGAGGCGUUGAUUAAAGCUGGUGGGAACUUUUUAAGAAGAUUAACCGAUGUUGGAGUUAGUCAAAACAUUAGUACGCUAAAAUUGCUUGGGGAAUAAGCAAAGGGAGGGAGAUUGUAGCUAUCAGAGAAAGGUCACGCUUAGGGUUAGAUGUCAAAAUCCAUGAAGGCUAUUGUCAACAUGUCGUGGUUUACAAAAACAUUGAGAAAAUCUCAAACUAAGGUUCGCAAUUUUAUUUCCCAAGCAAGUGACCUAACUUCUUUCUAAGUUCGUAUCCUCAAAGCCAUGCCACUUAUACAUGCUUCUCUUUAUACAAAUAUUUGUUUUUGCACUAAUAAUAUAUGGGAUUUGUUUGCUUGUUA